ensembl:lncRNA
UGGCACCCAGGGCCCUGGAGUAACCCGCUCAUAGGGAGAAACGGGGAAGGAGGGAGUGUUUGAUUUCUGUGCUAUCAUGGGGUCAAGAGACAAGCUUGACUUUGUGGUGGUUUGAUGUGCAAGGGAGGAAACUACGAUCAAGUGCACCGGCUUCGGGAGGAGAAAAUAGGAGGAGAGAGAAUGGACAUUUACCCAGCACUUCCUGUCUGCAACCCCUUGGUUAUGCCUGUAAACUCUGGAAAAUUCUAAAGGUGCAGGCUAUUACAAGAGUGGACGCCAUACAGAAUCCGUCUCAGAUGGACAUGGAGGGGGUCCCCUCUCUCCCUCUUCUCUUCCCCACAGUUCCCUCAGUCUUUUCACCCUGCUGUUGAAUCCCCAGGGCCCUGGAUCAAAGGCCUUUACUUCUAUCUUAUUUCUCAGUGGGAAGAGGAGGGGAUACCAGGCAGUUUUCCUCUUAAGCAUAACUCUGCUAUAUUACCACAUUACAUGACUACUACAUUCUAGAGAUGCUGCCUCCUGUCUCUAUAGUAACAAAGACCCUGACCCUAGAAGAUGGGCAGGAAGAGGAGGAAAGAGAGUAAGAAAAUCCUGCGCCAUCGCCAGCACCCGAGGCCUUUCACUCGGAUACUCUCAUCUUCCUCACAACCGUCACAUCAUGGGCUAAUUCCACUUCACACCGGAGGAAACCGAGGCUCAGAAAUGUUGAGUGAAUGCCUAACACAGGGAGCAAGUCUUGGAGCCAAGGUUGGUCCCACACCAAAGUCCAUGCCCUUUUCCCUGAGCCACGGCCCCUGCGCCGACACCAGAACACAUUGUUCUGCGUCUCACGAGGGACACUGAACUCUGGUUUAAUUCUGACGUUCUGGGUCGAUGAAGAAUUUGGUCAGCAAGUAGGGAGAGCGUUGCUGGAGGAGCUCAGAUAGGAGCCUGAGAGCAGAGAAGCUGACGUAUACGAGAGUCCCAGGGAAAACGGGGAGCCAGAUGCUGAGAAGCCAAGGCAGAGACACCAAGUCCGAAGUCUCGAGAUGCAGACUCAAAAUCAGGGUGUGGAGCCAAUGAUUCAGAAUGAGGCAAAACUGGGGUUUGGAGGGAGAGCAGGCCAGGGAUGGGCAAGGAGAGUUCGGGGUACCUGCCCAGCUGCUGUCGCCCUGGGGAGCUGUGGCUGCCCUUUGAGGGAUGGUGGGACCUCAGUGCAUGACUUGGGGUGAAGGGAGUCUGGUUUAAAGGCCUGAGGUAACAGUGACACCACCAGGGAGCCCCACGCUCAGCCAGAAGGGUCAGCCAUCCACCUUGGGCUUCAGUUCCCUCCCCUCCAAAGCCGCCCAGCAAGCCCUCAAGUCCAACUGAGAGUGACAGCCUGUCUUCAGGCUCAGGCCCGGGAAGGGGAGGAGCAGAGCGGAGGGUGACAGAAUGGGUAUGGCAAACACUCCAGAAGCUUCCUUCAGAGUGCAAACCCCAUGGACUCAGAGUCUGAGGCCCCGCCCGGAGUGUGGUGCUCAAAGGCAUCCACGGCAGGCCUGGGACAGUGAGCAAAGACGUCGGACAGUGGGAAAAUUUCCCCAAAGAACUCAGACUUGGUUUGGGGUCCAGCUCUCCCUGCCCUGAGACCCCUCUGCAGAAACUCCUAACUGAGUUCUGGGCCCUGGAGACCACUGUGGACAAAAACACCUGGGCAAAGCAAGGGGUCAAACUCCUUUAAUGCAGCUUCCUUAUCAGCAAAGAACUGAGCAGGCCUUGCCCAGAGCAGGAGGACGCAGGAGUCAAGAGUCGGACUGGAGCCGAAGAAAAUUUGAAGAGCCAAGUUUCCGAGCUCCAGUCCAGGCGGGGCUGUGCUCCUCCACCGCAGAAGCCCCGUUCAGCUCUCUGGCUUCCGCUGGCCUCGUGAAUCCCGGCAGAAGGCUGCUCUCCUGCGCUUUGGCGUGUGCACAGACUGGGUCCUGAAACUUGCGGGAGUUUGGUGACUGUGACCCCGUUGAGAAGGAGCCGCGUGGACCCAGAACCACUUAGAACAUCAGCUUUAGGACGCUGUCUUAGGUUGUGUUCCCCUGGAAGCAGAUCCCAAGAAGGAUUUGAGUACAGGCAAUUUGUAAAGGAAGUACUUUUAGGAGAAUGAGGAAGAAAGACAGAGCUAAGAGAGGCAGCUCAGGGUGAGCAAGUGAGUAGGUUACUGUGAGGAACUGAGGAUAAUCUCAGUGGGGACACUGGACAGUGCAGAAUACCCUUUGGGGCCACCCCACCUGAGGGACGAGGAAGCUGGAGUGUUUACCCAUUGGCUGAGGGCUGCUCCCAGGGGUGUUAGCCCCCAGUACUUCCAGCCUCCCCUUGGGCAAAGAGUUGCAGAGACUGCAGAGGGAAGUCAUCAGGGUCUAGAGGAGCGCAGAGAGGGGCAGGGCAUCAGUGGCAUCUGUUACACACCCUCGGCCCUGUCCUUGCGACUGCACCAGGCAGGGCAGAGAGAGACCAGAAGGCAGAGAGGGAGAGCAUCCAUCACUGACAGUGCAUUUUUCCAUGGCACAAGAGAUAAAAUCAUGGACUGGCAGCCAGAAUCCACACUUGGAAGUCUCUAGAAGAGGCUAAGAGCAGAAGGAGAAGCGUCCAACUCUCUGACCCAAAGUCAGAGACAAAUGCGGGGAAAGAGAAAAUACAGAAAGAGGUGUGGGGAAACAGGAAAAGCCCAGUCAAGGGCUGGAGACGGGAAGGAGGGUACAGUUCCACGGUCAGUUCAGCUAGUUCAGCCCAAAGGGACCCCUCUCACCCAGCCCUGGAGUCCGGACCGGUGGCUGAUGGUAGAGAGCUGGGUGUGGAGUACCAGUUUCUUCCAGCUGAAGAUGGAGAGGAUGCUUGUCAGUUUGACCCUGUGCUAAGUGGGAGACUGGUAGCUGGAAAACGGAAAGUGAACAUGUUGUCCAAGAUAGAGUCUGAGAAGUCACCAGUCAAUCAGAAACGAUCCGGGAUAGGGCGUCGGCCAAGGGGGAGAUUCUGAAGGCACCUGCAGUGUGGGAGUUGGCCCAACAGCCUCGUGCAGGAUUUCGUGAGCUGAUAUUGAAGGGUGCCGCUUUUCUUCCCCAGUUGUAGAAGCAGGGCAGGAAUCUCCCAAUGAUGAGGGUCAUGUUUGUGAAAAUGUUCUGGAGGCCAGAAGUCCAAAAUCAGUGUCAUUGGCCAAAAUCACGAUGUCAGCAGGGCCAUGCUCCCUCCGGAGGCUCUAGAGGAGAAUCUGUUCCUUGCCUCUUCCAACUUCUGGUGGCUCCAGCGUUCCUUGUGGCUGCAUCCCUGCCAUCUCUGUCUCCAUCAUUACAUUGCCUUCUACUCUUCUGCCUGCCUGUGUGGCAUCUCCCUCCAUCUCACUCUUCCAAGGCCUUUUAUGACAGCAUUUAAGGCCCACUCAGAUAAUCCAGGAUAAUUUCUCCAUCACAAGAUCCUCAGCUUAAUCACACCUACAAAGACCCUCUUCCAAAUAAGGUCACAUUUACGGUUCCAGAGAUUAGAAUCUGAUCUCCUUAGGGGUGGGGGAGGGGCAUUUUUCAGCCUACCACAGUUUGCUUGUAGAUUCUUUUGGAUUUUCUAAGUAUAGAAUCAUGCCAUCUGUGAAUAAUAAAUGUUUAGUUUCUCCAACAUACCUUUUUUUAAUAUCUCUUUUAAAUAUAUAAGCAAACUGUGGUUUGGGGAAGUAAAGGUAAUUUGCACAAGAUUCUAACAUCAGAGCUAG